CUUGCCUCGCUCCCGGAUCGGUGUCGUGCUGGUCGCCCCUCCGCCGGGUUUCAGCCACUACCCGAAGGGCUCGAGCGGCCCUGCGGCCCGGAGACCCAGUGCGCGUCGCGAGAGCUCAGGAGCAGCGAACAGUGAGAGGACCGGAGUACUUCCCAGAAUGCUUAAACUUAAUAAAAGAUAAAAACUUGUAUAACGAAGCUCUGAAGUUAUAUCCACCAAACUCGCAGCAGUACAAGGAAAGCUAGCUGAGCAGAGGAAGCACGGCGACGCAGCCACAGUUUUGGAACAGUACGCCCAGCUGGAAUAAUUCAACAUAUCUACUACAAAAAGAAAACAAACCCACUAGAGCCAAGCAGGAAAGCAGUGCCUCCUCCAUCUUUAUCCUGG